UACGGAGGGGGCUAGCGUUGUUCGGAAUUACUGGGCGUAAAGCGCACGUAGGCGGCUUCGUAAGUUAGAGGUGAAAGCCCGGGGCUCAACUCCGGAAUUGCCUUUAAGACUGCAUCGCUAGAAUUGUGGAGAGGUAAGUGGAAUUCCGAGUGUAGAGGUGAAAUUCGUAGAUAUUCGGAAGAACACCAGUGGCGAAGGCGACUUACUGGACACAUAUUGACGCUGAGGUGCGAAAGCGUGGGGAGCAAACAGG
rnacentral:rRNA from 1 species